rnacentral:misc_RNA from 1 species
GAUGAAGAACGUAGCGAAAUGCGAUAAGUAGUGUGAAUUGCAGAAUUCAGUGAAUCAUCGAAUCUUUGAACGCACAUUGCGCCCCUUGGUAUUCCAUGGGGCAUGCCUGUUCGAGCGUCAUUUGUACCCUCAAGCUAAGCUUGGUGUUGGGUGUUUGUCCACUCCCUCGUGUUUGGACUCGCCUUAAAACAAUUGGCAGCCAGUGUUUUGGUAUUGAAGCGCAGCACAAUUUGCGAUUCUAGCCUAGAACACUAGCAUCCAUCAAGUCAUUUUUAACGCUUGACCUCGGAUCAGGUAGGGAUACCCGCUGAACUUAAGCAUAUCAAUAAGCGGAGGA